AAUUGCUGCUCGUCUUCUCUUCAAUCUCCUCUUGAGUUUCCUUCCUUCAGGAGCAGAUAGCCCAUGUUCAGGAAGAAGCGGUUUACAAGGAAUCAAGUGAGGUACUAAUACUCCUAACCUCCUUUGUACACAGAGAUGAGCAUGAGACCCAAUGAGUUAUAAGGAAAAGAUUCUCUCUUUCUGAUAAAAGGAGAUAAGUAUUCAAUAAGAACUGUGUCUUACUGGCUCGGCCACCCCCUCAAUUGUUUACUUUGGAAACACACUGCGAGAGUGUGAUGUCUAGAGCUGUAGCAGUCACCUUGGGACCAUGAGGUGAGAGUCCACGGAUCAUACCCUGAAGUGUCCUCAGGAUUUGAAACCACUGUCAUGUCAGUCCCAUGGUUACACUUCACCUUCCCAAGUAUGUCUUUAAUUACUCUCUCAGCAGCCAACAAUUUCUUGCAGAGAAUCAUAUAAGAAUCAAUAAAUGUUUACUGAAUGCCCUAGGCUCUGGGCUGGGACAAAGGCAUGGAAGAAGCAGGCCUGUUCUGGAGGACUUUGCAGAUUUCCUUCAGUUUCACAUGCCAGAAACCCAGCUUCACAGUGGCGAGGAUGGGAAAAUGAGGCAGGAAAUAAACCUGAGGACCUAGCAUGGUGCUUAAGAAAUGUCAGUCCUCUCAUUGAGGACUUCAGUUCAGGAAACUCUUUUACACGUUUGUCAUCUCCAUUUUCACCUUCGCAAAGACCUUGAAGAGAAGUAUAAAAUUCUUACUCUCAAUGUGAAGAUAAGGAUACAGAGCCAGAUUUUGUGUGUCUUCCUCAGCGGCACUGAAAGCCCAUGGCAACGAGGUGCCUUGGUCCCACAUUUCCUGAUUUCCACUUUGGUGUCUUUUUUCCCCCCUUAUAGAUCACACAAUGUCAAGAUUAGUAAAAAUCCUUAGAAAUUAUCUAGCUUAAGGAUGACAAGCAGGUUUUACUUUCUUAUGUGCUGGCUUUGGCCUCCUGGUAACCACGGCCCGAGCCCUGGAUUGUGUUCUACCUACUGGGGAAGGGUGCUGUGAUCCAUUAGUAAUGUCUGCAUGGGCUUUGGUGAGUUAGCGUGUGGGGCACUUGCUAUUCUUCAUCUAAUCCAACCUCUCAUUUAAACAACAAACAAACAAACCUCAGAGAUGGGAACUGACUUACUCAAGGUUACCCAAUGAGCUAGGGGCAGGACUGGGUCUAGUGAUUUUUCUCAUUGACAGUCCAGUUGCCAAGCCUUGAUAAUAAGACUUCACUGUUUUCUUCCCACAGCAGGAUUUCCAUUGUUUAGGUAGCCUAGACUAUUAGAGGCCAUAGGCUCUAACCCCAGCUGUGAUGCUGUGUAGAAUUCAACAAGUUGACUCAUCUUUUUGUGCUUACAGAUAAAUCUGCUUCCUCUCAACAUCUUCCCCUAUCUUGAAGAAACUGCAAAGUUUGUGCAUUACCAAAGCUUGUGCAUUAGACAUUGCCUAAGAAAUGUCAGUCAAGAAGGUUAAAAUGAAAGAAACACGGCUUAGAAUAUGUAGAGAACUUGACAGACAACUGGAGUUGAAAGGGGCCUGGGGAAGAACAGGGAGCCCAUGGAAAUCCUGCUUGUCAGUGAUGGUGAACUGGCGUGGCUUGGAUAUUUGAAUCGGCACACCGGGGUUUCCAGCAGAAACAUUAUAGACCGUAAAUGCAGAA